GACGAACGCUGGCGGCGUGCUUAACACAUGCAAGUCGAACGAGACGAUUGGAAGCUUGCUUUUAAAAGUCGAGUGGCAAACGGGUGAGUAACGCGUAGACAACCUGCCUUUGAGAUGGGGACAACAGUUCGAAAGGACUGCUAAUACCGAAUGUUGUAUAUUUUCCACAUGGAAGAUAUAUUAAAGAUGGCCUCUAUUUAUAAGCUAUCGCUCAAAGAUGGGUCUGCGUCUGAUUAGCUGGUUGGUGAGGUAACGGCCUACCAAGGCGACGAUUAGGAGCCGGUCUGGGAGGAUGAACGGCAACAUUGGGACUGAGAAACGGCCCAGACUACUACGGGAGGCAGCAGUGGGGAAUCUUCCACAAUGGACGAAAGUCUGAUGGAGCAACGCCGCGUGAGUGAAGAAGGGUUUCGGCUCGUAAAGCUCUGUUGUCGGGGACGAAUGUGCAGUAUUUGAAUAAAGUACUGUAAUGACGGUACCUGACGAGGAAGCCACGGCUAACUACGUGCCAGCAGCCGCCGUAA
rnacentral:rRNA from 1 species